rnacentral:misc_RNA from 1 species
CUAUUUCGUAGUUCAAUCUAUUUCUGAAUAUUGCUUCACUGCACAGCAUAAACAAGUGUCUGAAUAUCAGCAGGAUAUAAAAACAAGACAAUUAUUUGAUAAAAAGAUAUAUGACAUGCAAGAGGUCCACGAUAGUGAGAGCAAUACAUAAAUGAGCGAAAUAAAAAAAAGGAAAUUCACGUCGAUAGUCUCACGUUAUUAACAUAACCUUAUAUAUAUAUACAUACAUCUACAGCCUUUUAUUUAUGUACAUAUAUAAUACAAUUUUUCCUAUUCUCAC